rnacentral:misc_RNA from 1 species
CGUCGCAUCAUUGCCGUUACGUGGAAAUGCAUCAUUACUAAAAUUAAUUUUCUGAAGUUUCACUUCUCGUCGUAAUAAUUUUCCUUCUAUACAUGUUGAAGAACGCAAGUGGCUUACAUUGCCAGUCGACUGAACAUCCGACUUUUCCGUCUUGCAAUAUAUAAAAGUGGUGGAUUCUUUUUCUAUUGAUAGUGCAAUCUAAUCAAAAACUGCCAUCGAGAGUGAUCAAAAAUAUUGGUUAUUUCUUCAUAAACAAGAUUAGUAAACUCAUCUCAACAUGGACGAGUUACAAAAUUACAGGCUUCAGCUCCAACAGGUGGAAGCCGCACUUACGACAGAUCCCACAAAUGAGGAGUUGUUAAAACUGAAAAUUGAUCUUGAAGAGGUUAUCGAAUUGUCGAAUGAUCUCAUAAAAUCACAACAGCAAGAAAAAAGGCAAUCCAAUGGCAUGGAUGCACAGGAUCCAAUACUUUUGGCUGUUCUUGCAAACAAAUGGAAAGUUGGCGAUCAGUGUAUGGCACCAUGGAGCGAGGAUAGCAAGUAUUACGAAGCUACAAUAGAUCUCAUAUGUGAGGAUGGUACAGUCCACGUAACUUUUGAUGAGUACAAAAACACUGAUGUCACAAUGCUUAGUCAUUUAAAGUCGGCAGCCAAGAGGCCAGCUUCUGAUUGGGCGGAUCAGAAAUCUAAGAAAUUGCAAGCUGCCGCAGUGGCUGGGGCUGAUCCGAAUAAGCAGCGUGAGUAUCUGAAGAAAAAGAAGCAAAAAAAAUUACAGCGUUUCAAGGAGCUGGAAGAAGAGCGAGAGCAAGAGAAAAACAAAUGGAUUGCAUUCACAUCGAAGUCGGCGAAGAAAGGUGUAGUGAAGAAGAGUAUAUUUGCGACACCAGAAAAUGUGAAUGGUCGCGUUGGUAUUGGUACCUGCGGUGUGAGUGGCCGCGAAAUGACUAAGUUUAGCAACGGCGAAAAAUGGAGACGAGGCGCAUAAAAAAAGAUAGUAGAAAAGGGUGUGAACAAUAUUUCGCCGUUGUACUCAGCGAUUUGUCAAAUUUUUUGCCAGGUCUCGGUGUUUCAAGCGAUUAUUUUCAAUCGCUGCAAAAUUCAAAAAAUGCAAAAAAAUAUUGCAGCAGGACGAAAUUAUCAUUUAAACAUACUGACGAUAAAUAUUGAAGAGAAUGAAAUAUUCGCGAUCAAUGAUUCACCGAAACUCCGAUUUUUCUAAUUUAUUCGAUGAAAGUCUCUUGUGAAAUGUUUCGUCUAGAAAAAUUCGACGAAUUGAAAAAUUGGGAAAAUCAGACUUAUGGUGUAAUAGAUCACUGUACUUAGUGAUACAUUCGUCUCGCAGUAGUACGUUUUUUUUUAUUCUCGUAAUCGAGAAAACACUGAAUAACGAGGAUCAACACAGUUUCUUCAUCUUUAUAUUGCGUCACGUGACCGCGGACAUCGUACAAAUUUUGAUUGCAUUCUCAUUUAUCGAGUAUAUACGUUAUCUUAUAAAGUUUGUAAUGAAUUCAAAUUCGCGCGCGACCUUGUAUACUCUUUAAUUCUAUCGUAUUUUGUAAAAAACAUCCGCAUGAUGUGAUCAUCGCAAAAAGCUGAUGCGGAAUUUCUGUAAAAAAUGUGAACGCUACGAAUAGUUAUUGAAGGGAGAAAGAAGGCUAGAGGAACAUUUAACGUAAAUCGAGGAGGAGAAGGUGAAGGGAACCGCCGUUUGGAAAAGCGAAUCCAUGUGGGGAAAACCUUACGGACAAUCUGUGUACCACGAGCCUAGACAAGAUGGAAAAGUGCAGGUGGUUUCUCGUUUUGUAUUUCUCAUUAUAAUUUCAUUUAAAUCGAAAGAUCAAGAGAAUAAUGAGUUUGUAUCGUGUUCGAAAGUUCAAACUCAGGGAUUCAUUAAAGUCUCUGCAAUUGUAUGUACUAUCGAAUUUAUCAUACAGUACGAAUAAAUGUAUAUUUUAAGGUCAAAAAAUAAAGUCGCAGUUGGUUUUUUUUUUU